GGGCCCGUAGCUCAGCCAGGUAGAGCAUCGGGCUUUUAACCCGAGGGUCGCGGGUUCAAAUCUCGUCGGGCCCG
rnacentral:tRNA from 1 species